rnacentral:rRNA from 1 species
UACGUAGGGGGCCAGCGUUGCUCGGAAUUACUGGGCGUAAAGGGUUCGUAGGCGGUGCGGCAAGUUGGGAGUGAAAUCUCUGGGCUUAACUCAGGGGCUGCUUUCAAAAACUGCCGCGCUCGAGUGCGAGAGAGGUCAGUGGAAUUGCAGGUGUAGCGGUGAAAAUGCGUAGAUAUCUCAGGAACACCCGUGCGAAGCGGCUCCUGGA